AUACUGGGAAAAUGGAAUGAGUACUUCCUUUCAAGGGGUGGAAAUGUUAUAGAACUUGUCCUGAAGUUGUGACAGUCUAACACUGAAUCUCAAGCCAAUCAUGCAGACAGCAGAUAGCUGCAUCACCUCUGCGUUUUUUCGGACUGGGGUUCAUUGCUCUUCAUUAAAACAUGCCACAGUGCUCAUCCUUCUGGAACUUGGCCAUGGCUGUGCAGACCAUGGUGGUAUUGCACAGACCACUCUGGUAGCUGUGGAUUGACUGUGAUACGAAAAGCAAAGCAGUGUGUCCAUGGUACAAAUCUCUGCACUGUCCCAAGAGAUGCUCAUCCAGAACUGCUCUGUUAUGCCGCUGCAGUGUGCCUUGUAGAUCCAGAAGUAGUAACAACUGGAGCGUGCUAUGGAAAGGGAUCUUGGUCAUGUUCCUGUGCCUACUCAGAAGGAGCAGCAAUCUAUCAUUCAACAGAUAUUUUUAUUUUCCUUGAUCCCACUGAUAAAAUCUACGCAAUCUCAACAUUACUUAUAGCAAACUUGUCCUCUCAAAAACACCACUCAGGAUACUUCUUGCUAGAGCACAGAUAA
rnacentral:lncRNA from 1 species